rnacentral:lncRNA from 1 species
CUUCUACCUCUGCUCACUGACCAUUCGCAAUUGCCUUGUGCAUGAAUAAGGAAGAGUUGUGGCUACAAUGACCAUUGCGGGCAGGAGGAAGAACAGGUGUAUCUCCAUCCCCUCCCAACACUCACUAAAGUCAACAUGAUGAAAUACAGAGGUACGAGCCCACAACAAUGCGUGUGACGCAAAGGUGGCAGAGGUCCAGAGAAAUCCAUAAACCCCUGGAAGAGGUA